rnacentral:rRNA from 1 species
CGCUGGCGGCGUGCUUAACACAUGCAAGUCGAGCGGAAAGGCCCCUUCGGGGGUACUCGAGCGGCGAACGGGUGAGUAACACGUGAGUAACCUGCCCUCGACUCUGGGAUAAGCCUGGGAAACUGGGUCUAAUACCGGAUAUUCACCUCCUGUCGCAUGGUGGGGGGUGGAAAGUUCCCUCUUUUUUGGGGGUUCGGUCGGGGAUGGGCUCGCGGCCUAUCAGCUUGUUGGUGGGGUGACGGCCUACCAAGGCGACGACGGGUAGCCGGCCUGAGAGGGCGACCGGCCACACUGGGACUGAGACACGGCCCAGACUCCUACGGGAGGCAGCAGUGGGGAAUCUUGCGCAAUGGGCGAAAGCUGGACGCAGCGACGCCGCGUGGGGGAUGAAGGCCUUCGGGUUGUAAACCCCUUUCAGCACCGACGAAUGAAGGACGGUAGGUGCAGAAGAAGCGCCGGCUAACUACGUGCCAGCAGCCGCGGUAAUACGUAGGGCGCGAGCGUUGUCCGGAAUUAUUGGGCGUAAAGAGCUCGUAGGCGGCUUGUCGCGUCUGUCGUGAAAGCCCACGGCUUAACCGUGGGUUUGCGGUGGAUACGGGCAGGCUAGAGGCAGGUAGGGGAGCAUGGAAUUCCCGGUGUAGCGGUGAAAUGCGCAGAUAUCGGGAGGAACACCGGUGGCGAAGGCGGUGCUCUGGGCCUGUUCUGACGCUGAGGAGCGAAAGCGUGGGGAGCGAACAGGAUUAGAUACCCUGGUAGUCCACGCCGUAAACGUUGGGCGCUAGGUGUGGGGUUCUUCCACG